rnacentral:rRNA from 1 species
AACGAACGCUGGCGGCGUGCCUAACACAUGCAAGUCGAACGGAGUAUAUUUUGUAGCAAUACGGGAUAUACUUAGUGGCGGACGGGUGAGUAACACGUAAGUAACCUACCCUUAAGCUGGGGACAACUCAGGGAAACUUGAGCUAAUACCCGAUAAGACCACGAACUGAGAUGUUAGUGGUAAAAGGAGCAAUUCACUUAAGGAGGGGCUUGCGGCCUAUCAGGUAGUUGGUGAGGUAAUGGCCCACCAAGCCUAAGACGGGUAGCCGGACUGAGAGGGUGGUCAGCCGGAUUGGGACUGAGACACGGCCCAGACUCCUACGGGUGGCUG